rnacentral:rRNA from 1 species
AUUGAACGCUGGCGGCAGGCCUAACACAUGCAAGUCGAGCGGAUGAGAGAAGCUUGCUUCUCGAUUCAGCGGCGGACGGGUGAGUAAUGCCUAGGAAUCUGCCUGGUAGUGGGGGACGACGUUUCGAAAGGAACGCUAAUACCGCAUACGUCCUACGGGAGAAAGCAGGGGACCUUCGGGCCUUGCGCUAUCAGAUGAGCCGAGGUCGGAUUAGCUAGUUGGUGAGGUAAUGGCGCACCAAGGCGACGAUCCGUAACUGGUCUGAGAGGAUGAUCAGUCACACUGGAACAGAGACACGGUCCAGACUCCUACGGUAGGCAGCAGUGGGGAAUAUUGGACAAUGGGCGAAAGCCUGAUCCAGCCAUGCCGCGUGUGUGAAGAAGGUCUUCGGAUUGUAAAGCACUUUAAGUUGGGAGGAAGGGUUGUAGAUUAAUACUCUGCAAUUUUGACGUUACCGACAGAAUAAGCACCGGCUAACUCUGUGCCAGCAGCCGCAGUAACAC